UUAUGCAUACAUUAGGACAAAUCGACUUCUGAUUAUGCUUUUAUCGUAAGCGACAAAAGGUAAAAUGGCGCUUACGAUAUUUUUCCUGAACAUGCUGAGAGGAAAGUUAUCAAAGAAUUGGCGCUUUCGAUAGUUUUUAUGUUGUAUUAUUUGGAUAUUUAUAAACGAAGGAGUGCCGGUACUUUCAGGAUUUUUUGAAAAAACUGAAUUUUAAGUCAAUUAAAUAUAAACAUUGUCAAUCAGCAGAAUAA